UGCAGGACACAUAAGCAGUGCGAGUGCCUCGGCGAAUUCAUCGGGCGGCACCGAAUGGGCGGAGGGGAACCACUGGUUAGCUCCAAGGCGGAGCUGAAACACAAGCAAAAGCUCAAAAAGAAAGCGAAAUCGGGUGGCUUUGAGUCCCUAAACCUCAGCCCCAAUGUCUACCGAGGAAUCAAGAGGAAGGGUUACCGUGUCCCG
rnacentral:misc_RNA from 1 species